UACAGAGGAUGCAAGCGUUAUCCGGAAUGAUUGGGCGUCAAGCGUCUGUAGGUGGCUUUUUAAGUCCGCCGUCAAAUCCCAGGGCUCAACUCUGGACAGGCGGUGGAAACUACCAAGCUUGAGUACGGUAGGGGCAGAGGGAAUUUCCGGUGGAGCGGUGAAAUGCGUAGAUAUCUGGAGGAACACCGGUGGCGAAGGCGGCGUUCUGGACUGCUACUGACACUGAGGAACGAAAGCCAGGGGAGCAAACGGG
rnacentral:rRNA from 1 species